rnacentral:tRNA from 1 species
AGUUAAUGAGCUUGUUAAGCAUAUACCUUGAAAGUAUAAGAAAGAAGUAAAAUUCUAUUAACUU